rnacentral:rRNA from 1 species
GACGAACGCUGGCGGCGUGCCUAAUACAUGCAAGUUGAGCGCUGAAGGUUGGUACUUGUACCAACUGGAUGAGCAGCGAACGGGUGAGUAACGCGUGGGGAAUCUGCCUUUGAGCGGGGGACAACAUUUGGAAACGAAUGCUAAUACCGCAUAAAAACUUUAAACACAAGUUUUAAGUUUGAAAGAUGCAAUUGCAUCACUCAAAGAUGAUCCCGCGUUGUAUUAGCUAGUUGGUGAGGUAAGGGCUCACCAAGGCGAUGAUACAUAGCCGACCUGAGAGGGUGAUCGGCCACAUUGGGACUGAGGCACGGCCCAAACUCCUACGGGAGGCAGCAGUAGGGAAUCUUCGGCAAUGGACGAAAGUCUGACCGAGCAACGCCGCGUGAGUGAAGAAGGGUGUCGGAUCGUAAAACUCUGUUGGUAGAGAAGAACGUUGGUGAGAGUGGAAAGCUCAUCAAGUGACGGUAACUACCCAGAAAGGGACGGCUAACUACGUG